rnacentral:rRNA from 1 species
UACGUAGGGGGCAAGCGUUGUCCGGAUUUAUUGGGCGUAAAGAGCGUGUAGGCGGCCAGGUAGGUGGGUUGUGAAAACUGGAGGCUUAACCUUCAGACGUCGAUGGAAACCGUGCGGCUAGAGUCCGGAAGAGGAGAAUGGAAUUCCAGGUGUAGCGGUGAAAUGCGUAGAUAUCUGGAGGAACACCGGUGGCGAAGGCGGCAUCCUGGACCGGUAUUGACGCUGAGGCGCGAAAGCUAGGGGAGCAAACGGG